rnacentral:misc_RNA from 1 species
AAGAAAUAUCAUUUCUUUUUCAUAAUUUGAUCAUUCCAGUACAUAAUAUAGCUUUGAAGUUUGAUAUUUCUCUUCCGUGUUGUAAAAAGAGAUACUAAAAAACAUAAUUUGACACUAUGAUUAAGAGUAUACAGACGUGAAGCAAUGCACUUCAGCUUACAUUAUAUUUAUCUUCAGACAGCUACUGCAGGAAAUUGACAGGCACAAGUUUGAGAGCUUCCUUCUUGGAUACGGUGAGACUAGGAACAGCUUUUUCUUCCAUGUUGAUUCCUUCAACUCUAUUUGGCAGUUUCCAAUCAAAAUAAUAUAAUAAAUUUGCAAGCACAAGCUCCACUGAUAUAGUUCCCAUAUUUAGUGCAGGGCAACCUCUUCUACCAGCUCCAAAUGGCAAAAACUCAAAAUUUUGUCCUGUAAAUUCAAUGGAACUAUC